UUUCAUUAAUAUUUUAGGAUUAAUUUUAUAUAGCUUAAUGUAAAUAUAUAUCGAAUAGAAAAUAUAUUUUUAUAAAGUAAAAUUUUUUAUAUUUAUUUUCAUAAAAGUCCAGUAAUAUUUAUAUAUACUUUUCUGAUUUGUUACCGAGUAAUUUUUAUUUUUUAUGAUUAAUUUCAUACAGGCCCCUUCAAAUAUAGUACAUAAAAAAUAUAUCUUUACAAAAUUAAACUUUCAUAUGUUGUUCCUACAAAAAUUUUAAUGUUUUCAAAUAUACUCCUCUGGUUUAUUACCGUUAGAGAACCAUUAGAGAAUCAUUUAUAUUUUCAAAUAUAUUCCUCUGGUUUCAAAAUAUUUUCAUAUAUAUUUGCUAUUUACUAUAUUUGCAGAAACUUGUAUGAAAUUAACCCUAUUAUUUAACAGAGGAUAAGUGAAAUGACAUUUUUGUCAUCACAAAUAUAUCUCUCUAAAAGUCCCAAUAAUUAAAACUAUGCAGAAAUAUUUUUUCAAAAAUUUUCAACGAUCAUCUUCUUUCUUAUGCCAUCAUAAAUAAUAUAAAAGCAGUUAAAAAAAAGCUUAAUUUAUCUCAUUCACUAAUACGGAUUAAGUAUUUUAUUUAUGAUUAACUAUGUUUUCUAACGGAUCAUAACAGUAGGAGUAUAUUUAAAAAUAUUAGAAUUUUUAUUGGAAUAAAUAUAAAAAGCUAAACUUUGUAGAAAAUACCUGCUAUUCGAUAUGUUUACAGUGAGCCGUAUGCAAUUAAUCUAAUAUUUUAUCCACCUGUUCGAUCUACUCGCUUCUGCAGUGGUCAAAAUUCAAAUUCUCUUCCACUUCUUCUAUAUACAUACGCCCUUAAAACACACACACAAAUUAAAACAAAAAGAAAAAAGAAAAUAAAAUUCUCGAUGCCAAACACAUUUUUAUUUGGUCUUCUAUUUUAACCGACACGACCCGUACACGACGACAAAGUCUAAGAACAGACACAAUUUAUUAGAUAUGGACUUGGACUUUGCAGUGUGGUUUGGAAUGAUUGGGAUUGAUUCCCACAACUGUGAAAAUAGCUUUGUAGUUGUAGGACCAUUUCUGUGGAAAGCUACACGAGGAUCGCUUCUUCCUCUUAGCUCUGUUAAGUUUUCAUAAAUCAGCAAGCGAUUUCUCUGCAUUGAAGCAGUUUGUCAGAGACUUAAGAAAAAUUUUAGCCUGACUCAAGUUCUUGGCCGAACUUCAUUAAGGGAUCGUUUGGUUGUAUGUAGUUGUAACUGUAUUGUAUUUAUAACUGUACGUAAAUACAAAUUCGGUGUUUGGUUUGAUGUAUUUAUUUCAACUGCUGCAGUAGGAACUACAGGAGGAGGCCCAACUAUAGCAGUUCGAAUUACGCCCAAAUUGACCGCAGUUUCAACUGCCGCAGUUAGAGAAAGUAACUUUAAAUAAAAGAUAUACUUACCUACUCAAUAAUUUUUAAACAAAAAUUAUUUUUCUUUUUUUUUUUUUAACAUUGGAGAUAAUCUCACCAUCGUAUAUAUAAAAUUAUAAAAUUUUAAAAAUUAUUUAUCAACUGCAUGCAACCAAACAAAUUAUUUAUAGUUACAGUGCUUUCUACUACAUUCAAUCAAGCAGAAUUAUGUAGUUGUAACUAUUGUAUUUUCAACUACAUACAUCUUUAACUACAGUACAUUUAUAAUUACAUCUAACAAAAUGGCCCCUAAGUGAGCAACUAAAGAGGCAUUAUUUAGGAAGCUUCUAUGAGAGAUGAAAUAUUUUGACACUGCAGAAGUUAAAUGCCUCAAGAAACGGUCUCAUGGAAAAUCUGAACUCAUGAGCAAUCUUUGAAUUUACUUUGCAUUAAUGUAGGCAGCUUUCUUAAUUUGUAUCAUAUCGGGAUAUAAAUAGGAGAAUGGCUGAGGUAAAAGUCGAUAAGGGAGAGUGCAUCUGUAAUUUCUGGUUUCAGAUAAUAGAGUACUUAGUUUUUAACAGAACCUCUAUCUCUCUCUACUCUGUCUUUUGCACUUAGUCUUCAAAAGCUAGUAGGUUCAGACUAGUCAGAUCGAGACAGAUUUGUCCAUCUUCAAGUAGGAAGGCGAGACGCCACACGAACUUUUGCGAGUAAAAUCACUGAGUCUGUGACAAGGCGCGUGUAUUAGCCUUUUUGGUAGAAGCAUUUAUGUUUUUUAAUAUGCACACACACACACACACACACACACACACACACACUAAUGAAGGAGUACGAGCCAUCGCUACUCAGAACCUGCUUAUUUUGUAUGUAAUUACAAAAACAUGUAAUUAGAAAGAGCACUACUAUCUACACAUCCAAUCAAUACCAAUACAUUAAAGGGCGAACCGAAAACUCGCUCCACAGUGCGUCCGCGUUUUAGGUUCCAGUCUCUCCGCAUUUUCCGCUCCCUGUUUUCGGUCCUUUAUGUCCGCCUUUUCGCUUCCCCCUCUGGCACUGUACCUCUUCCUUACCUCUCCUCUCCGCGUCUUUCCGCUGGCACUGUACUUCUUCCUUACCUCUCCUCCGCGUUUUCGGCAUGUGGGCCCCUUGCGCAGCAGCUUCUCCCUCUCCCUUUCUCGCGAACCCUAUGUUCUCCUACCGUUACCGUCUACGCAGAUCCGCCGCUUCCCCGGAAAUUCCUCUCUCCCUGGACCGUACGCCUGUAUCUACCCAAAACGGCGCAUUUAAUGGCGCCGCGCAACUCCGCUGGCACUGUACGUCUUCCUUACCUCUUCUCUCCGCGUUUUCGGCACCUCUCCGCGGAUUCGCUGCUUCCCCGAAAAUCCCUCCCUCCCUCGCCCGUACGCCUGUAUCUACCCAAAUCGGGGCAUUUAAUGGCGCCGCGCAACUCCCGUCGGUGCAUUAAAUGCCACCCAUCAACCCGUCGCUUCGCCGGAGAUGGUUUCCUCCCUUCGCCGUACAUGUUUGUAUAUUAUAGAUCUGGGCAUUAAAUGCCCCGCCGGAUCCGCCCCUUCUCCGGAGAUCGCUCGCUCUCUCCGGGCUGGGGAUCAUCCUGAUCUCCACUGUACCUUCACUGUCGCGUCGUCCCGCUGUCAUCUCAGGAUGGUGCGCCGCUGUGAGCCGGCGCCCUUCCCUUGCUCUCUUCGCUUCUCUUUUGGUUUGUUCCAAUGCUGGUAUGUAUAUAUAUAGACUGUUGGCCGGUAAGUUUUGAUGCCCAGCAAAAUUUGGUUUCCUACCUUGCAAUCUUUUCUUGAGAGUGGUGCUGACGCAAGAAAGGAGGUCGGGUUCUCUGGAGGUUUCCUUGCUUGCUUCCUAUUUUGAUGUUCUCUGUCUAUGUGCAUGCCUGGAUUUGCUGAUGUUUGGGUGCUUCGAUGUUUGGUCGCGGUCUUGCACGCGGUUCCUGCUUCGCUUCCUUCUCGCUUUUCUUUUUUCCAUCCGCAAUGGCAUGGCAGUCGAAUGGCUUCCGAGCAAUUGCUGCAGCCUGCGAGCAAGGCAAUGAUGAUAUCGGCAAUACUUGAAAUCUAUCUUACCUUUAUCCGCAAUGGCAUGGCAGUCGAAUAGCCUCAGGGUGAUCGCUGUAGCCUGCGGCUAUUAGUGCAGAAAUCCGGUCCAUAUAAAUCUGAGCCUUGCAUUAUGUUUUCUCAUAUUUUUGGUUUCCCCUUCCUGGCUUUUGUCUCAAUUUGUUUUUUCCCUAAAUUUAACAAUCCAAAGUUUUUUGCUGGCCAUUAAAAAUCUGCGUACCUCCGCCAGUCAUUUCUACUAGCUUUCCUUACUCUUUACAAUUGCCUUCUGGGUUACAAGUAUUUGCUUUAUACCUUGAAUAUGUCCAAAAAAAUAGUUGCCGGUAAGCUUACAAGUAUUUUCAGUGUAUCUUGAUUAUGUCCGAAAAAAAAAGGCCCUCUCGAUGUGCUUCCUUACUUUCUGCACUAAUUGCUUGGGUAUCUAUAUAGCUGUUUUUAUUUCUUACAAAGGGACUGAGAAUCUAUAAACAAGCUCUAAGAAAUAUCUACCUUGCAAUUGGCUCUGGAAUUUAGCCAUACACUUCAGGUCUUUGGAGCUACCUACCUUGCAAUUGACUCACACAUUCUCGACUAAGUCCAGAGCUAGGAGAUAUUGAAAUAGGCCUACUGUUUUUUGUUUGUCUUAUUUGUUGUAUUUUUUAUGGUUAAAUUGUUCACUGCUUACAGUAAACUUGGGCCCCAUUGAUUUUGAAUCCUGGCUUCACUCAUAUUUCUUAAUGUACCUCACAUACGACCAGGAAUGGAUGCUUUUCACUACCAAUAAAUUUUGGAUUAGCUAAAAUAACUUAGCCUUAGGUAUUUCUGAGGCACUUUUGUUGCUGAACUGAUCAAGUCAUAGACUCAUCAUCAUUUCAAGGCAUUUCAGUUUGUGGUAUGCUCAGAAUGGAUGUUUGGUAUUUUCGUUUUGGCUUAAUCCAAAGAAAAUAGCCUUAGGUAUUUCUGAGGCACUUUUGUUGCUGAACUGAUCAAGUCAUAGACUCAAUGGUUAUGGUGUUGCUUAAGCUCAUUUGGGAAUAAUUAGAACAAAUGUUUAUUUAUCCAUUAAUCUUUACGGAACAUGUAUGUCUAUGUUUGGCAAGUGCAUAUUGAAGAUUUGAAUCCCUACUUAACUGAGGAAGUACUCUAUUUUUUGUUGAAACUUUGGGGCUUUCAUUACCUGCCAAUAACCUUACAAACAGUUGUAUUACUUUUCUUUUGAACUGCCGUUGUUGCAUUUUGGGGAUGAAAAGAAAGAAAUAUUCUGGUUGGAUACAUUGCUUUGUUAGAUCUGCACACUCUUCUUUGGGUUGGAUACAUAUCUUUAUUGGAUCUACGCACUCUUCUUUGUCGUUGCAUUGUUGUAGAAUUGCCAUGCUGUUUCUUUUAUCAUGUUUUUACUUUCUUCACUGUUAUUUGUGAGGCCGGGAAGUUCUUCGAAAUCUCCACUUCUUUGCUGUUGCUUUCGCUGGUUUUUCAUGCAAGGUUGUGAUGAUAUAAAGAACUCUACUGAAUAUAUUCGUAUUGGCAUGGCAUGUUGAACAGCUCCGGGGCUGCAUGUUUGCUUUUGUUGCAAGUGCUGGGGAGUUUUUAAAGUACCUUACCUGUUUAGUUUUCCUUUUACCGAUCUUUCGUUCGAAGCUAUGGUGAUAAGGAAAACAGUACAACGUGUCGCCUGGCCCCGGGGCAAUCGCUGCAGCCUGCGAAUAUUAUUGUAGAGAUCCCCACAAUAGCUAUCAUGGAUUUUUGCUUAGAGGAUCUAUAAAUCUGAACCUUGCUUAUCUGUUGUUAUCGUUUUCUUCUUCUUUCUGUCGGCUAUGAUCAUUAUCUACUGUGACCUUUUCCUUUUCUUUGUUCUAUUUUGGGCUUAACUUUCUUCAUUACCUAUUGUUCUCUUUUUCUUUCCUUCAUUUUUUUUGGGGCUUAAGUUUUUUUCCGGCAAAUGGUUUUGUUCCGUCGGGCAAAUGGUUCUGUUCCGUCGAGCUAUUUGUGCUGCUUUUGCUGGUCUGCUUUGGUUUCGGCAUCGCGAUCUGAGUGAAAAAAAGAAAGAAAAGACUUCUUAAAAAAUGACCACAUUUUUUACUUUGUUGUUAAUUUUUUUUCCUUACCUUAGUUGUGUCGAAAUAUGGUGUACUCAAUGGUUGCUUGGCUAACCUAUUCUUAUCUCAUUGUUUUGUUCCGUCGAGCUAUUUGUAGUGCUUCUGCUGGUCUGCUUUGGGUUCGGUAUUACAAUCUGAGUGAAAAAAAAGGAACCUUCUUAAAAAAUGACCACAUUUUACUUUGUUGUUAAUUUUUUUUCCCUUACCUUAGUUGUGCGGAAAUAUGGUGUGCUUGAUGGUUGCUUGGCUAACCUAUUCUUAUCUCAUUGCUCUUUGCUCACAGAUUGUCUGGUCCGAGCUGUUGCUGCUGAACAUAAAAUUCCAAUUACGAGCAUCUCGGCUGACCUCCAGGUGGAUACAUGUGCAUAUGUAUAUACAUAUUACAUAAAUAUGUGGUGGUUUAUAAGUAUGUAUGUAUGUAUUGUUAACAUUCUUAUCUCAUUGCUCUUUGCUCGCAGAUUGUCUGGUCUUGCUCGCAGAUUGUCUGGUCCGAGCUGUUGCUGCUGAACAUAAAAUUCUAAUUACGAGCAUCUCCGCUGACCUCCAGGUGGAUACAUGUGCAUAUGUAUAUAUAUAUUACAUAAAUAUGUGGUGGUUUAUAAGUAUGUAUGUAUGUAUUGUUAACAUUCUUAUCUCAUUGCUCUUUGCUCGCAGAUUGUCUGGUCUUGCUCGCAGAUUGUCUGGUCCGAGCUGUUGCUGCUGAACAUAAAAUUCUAAUUACGAGCAUCUCCGCUGACCUCCAGGUGGAUACAUGUGCAUAUGUAUAUAUAUAUUACAUAAAUAUGUGGUGGUUUAUAAGUAUGUAUGUAUGUAUUGUUAACAUUCUUAUCUCAUUGCUCUUUGCUCGCAGAUUGUCUGGUCCGAGCUGUUGCUGUUGAACAUUAAAUUCUAAUCAGGAGCAUCUCCCCUGACCUCCAGGUGGAUACAUGUGCAUAUGUAUAUACAUAUUACAUAAAUAUGUAGUAGUUUAUAAGUAUGUAUGUAUGUAUUGUUAAACUAUGUAUCAGUUUACCUUUUUUCUAAACUUCCUUAUAUAAAUAUAUAUAUGUGGUCAUCUACUUAGGCUAUUUUUUGUUCUGUCUUUUUUGUUGGCUAUGAUUAUUAUAUAUGUAUCUCUCUCUUCCUCUCUUGAUACAUAUAUAUAUAUAUAUAUAUAUAUAUAUAUAUAGAGAGAGAGAGAGAGAGAGAGAGAGAGAGAGAGAGAGAGAGAGAGAGAGAGACCCGUCUCAACUAUGGAUCGUAUGUCUGUGUGUAUAUACAUAUAUAUACUUAUCAGUUGAUUGUUUUUUGGAUUUUUUUGAAGCUUUCACUCAGUUUACACAUUUUCCUUUCUUUUUUUUUGUAACAUUUAUUUAUUUAUAAUUUGCAUUUAUAAAUAGAUAAAUAUACUAAUUUGCUUGCUUUUUUUAAUUUGUGUUGUUAUAUUUGCUUAUUAGGUUAGAAGGUUUAUUAGAUUUAAUAAGUCUACAAGUAAUUAUAGAUAACAAAGUUCGUUGAAUUUACUAUACAAUUUAAUAGAAUAACAAUUGAUUAAACUUAUUUAAUGCAUAUAUAUAUAUAUAUAUAUAUAUAUAUAUAUAUACCUCUCUACUAUAGGCCAUUUGAAACAAACCCCUCAGUUAAUAUUGUUUUGGCGAGAUUCAAAAUUCUUUUUUCUUUAACUUGAUUUAUUAUAUUUAGUAAUUAAAUUACAAGGUUUAUUAAAUUUGCUGAUUAAUUUCGUUCCUUCGUUGUUCGAACAGAAAGAAAAAUUUUUCGGCCUUCGAAUUACACUCCUGUCCGUUCACUUCGAAAAACAGCUAAAUAUCUAUGUAUCUUUUUUGGAUUUUCUCUACUAUUCGCUUCACUAUCCAAUUAGACUCUAUGCAUUGAUGGUUUUCUUUUGUUUUUGGGCCUGAACUAAUCUUUAGUAGCACAAAUAUAAUUUACCUAUGUAUCUUUUUUGGAUUUUCUCUACUAUUCGCUUCACUAUCCAAUUAGACUCUAUGUAUUGAUGGUUUUGUUUUGUUUUUGGGUCUGAACUAAUCUUUAGUAGCAUAAAUAUAAUCUUUAGUAGCACAAAUAUUUGUGCUAUUUGUUUAAUAUUUUUUAUUGUGUGUUUAUUGUAAAUUUUUCUACCCGCCGCGAAGCGCGGGUACUUAACUAGUAAGGGAUCUAAAUCUUAUACUUUUUUAUCCAAGAAUCCGUAAUAGAACAUAAAUUUAUAGAUUUUAUUAUUUUAUUUUGGCAUGCCAUUAUAUGUUAAAAUCAAAAAAGCCAAACAACUCUUAACUGGUUUGAGUCUUACCAUGCUCGACAAAUAAAAAAAACAUGUGUAGGUAGUAACUUAAAAAAAAUAAAUUAAGUACUAUACAUAAGCGCCACUAUUUUUGCUUUAAAAUUUGGAUUUGUAGACUUAGUAAUUAAAACUAGUUUAAAUUUAAAAUUAUCUACAGAUCAGAUAAAUUCAAAAUAUUUUUUACGUAAAAAUUAAACGUUAUGAUAUUUUGUCGGUGAAUAAAAAAAAGUUUCAUUUCAAAUUAUCUGCAAAUGAGGGGGUCUCCUUAUAAUUUUACCAAAACAUGAAAAAUAAUAAAAAAAAUGUUCCCAAGGUAAUGAGAUUCUUCGAAACCGUGUGAGAGCGCGCCAGCUCAAAUCUCUCCUUUCACCCCUUGACUUUUUUUUUUUUUGGUUUUGAAAAAUUAUUUUCUUUUUUUUUUUUUUUUUUUUUUUUUUUGGUUUUGAAAAAUUAUUUUUUUUUUUUUUUUUUUUUUUUUUUUUUUUUUUUUUUGGUGUAUUAAUUUCGCAUCUCUAUAUAUGUAUGGUUCGUUCCUCGAACGAGGGGUGUGUAGAUCUCACACCCUGAGCUUCUACUAGUAUUUAUAGAGCUCCUCCUCCCCACCCUCUCCCCUCAUUCUCAUUCUCUCUCUCUCUCUAAAACGUUGGAUCGCGUUUAGAACGACAUAGGGACGACGAGGAACGACUCCUAGAGGUAAAUUUCCGAUCCGAUCUCAUCUGAUCUAUGAUGCGGAGGUCUCGAUCUCUUUGUGAUGUCAUUUGAUGCUGGAUCUGUGAUUUUAGUGGUGCAAUUUGUUUCGAUUCGUGAAUCAUUCAUGAUUCUACGAUUUCUUAGGUCCUCUCGCAGAUCUGAGUUUGUGAUUUGUGUACGUUGACUUUGGGAUCUCGUAGAUCUGUAGGUUUCUGUGCAUUGUUUAGGUGGAUUUGACCCGUUUGGGGAAAAUUUGGGUUAGAUAAAGUCUUUUUUUUUGCUGGGAAAUGUAGAUCUGAAUGUUUGUAGGAGGGGGAAUGUGCACCGGGAACUAGAUCUGUUCAUGUUCUGGCUAAUUUGCGCUAUUACCUUUAGAAUUUGAUAUAUUUGAAGGCGUUUUCCAUAGAUCUGUGGACUAUAUUUUCUAUCUCAUGAAUCCAAGGAUUCAAUGUGAGGGAUCGUGGAUUCAGUUGAUCUUAUAUAGAUUUACAGGUUCUUGUGGUUGAGUUGUAUGUUUUGUUUUAUUCAAUUUGAUCUGUGUCAUCAUUCCUUACCAAUAUCAUUGAGGCUAAUCUCAGGUGUAGAUUGAGCCCCUGCUCCUUAAUAGUUAAACAUAAAUGCCAUUGAGCUUCAUCAUUUUUUUUUUGUUUUCCACUCAUUUUUUUUUGAAAAAAAAAUUCUGUUUUUGAAUAAGAUUUGUCUUUCUAUGUAUUAUGUUCUGUAUUACUGUUUAAGGUUCUUUCACAUGCUUCUUCUGGAUUCAAAUAUUGUUUUAGAAUGUCCAAAAAGAACUCGAGCAAGUAAUGCUGUGUGUUUUUUUUUUCUGAUUUUCUUAUUUGAUCAUGGAAGUUUUAAAUUGAUCGUUGGAACCGUUUGGUUUGUUAAUAAGGUUUUGAAAGAGUUGCUUUGCUGUCCAGGCCUCCAACUUUUUGCUCAAAAGUGCCUUAGAAAGAUUAAUCUUUUGAUAUUAUCUCAUUAGGCUUGUUUUUCUGUUUCUUGUGGCAUUAAUUCAAACAGCUUUUAAGAUAAAAAAAGAUGGUGAAGAUCUGCUGCCUCGGCGCCGGCUAUGUUGGCGGCCCCACCAUGGCCGUGAUUGCCCUCAAGUGCCCAGCAGUCGAGGUCGUCGUUGUUGACAUCUCCGUUGCUCGCAUCUCAGCAUGGAACAGCGACCAGCUCCCCAUCUACGAGCCGGGCCUCGAUGACGUCGUGAAGCAGUGUCGCGGCCGCAACCUCUUCUUCAGCACGGAUAUCGAGAAGCACGUGGCGGAGGCCGACAUUAUCUUCGUCUCAGUCAACACCCCGACCAAGACCCGCGGACUCGGCGCCGGAAAGGCUGCUGACCUCACCUACUGGGAGAGCGCCGCCCGCAUGAUUGCCGACGUGGCCAAGUCCGACAAGAUUGUGGUCGAAAAGUCAACGGUCCCGGUCAAGACCGCCGAGGCCAUCGAGAAGAUCUUGACCCACAAUAGCAAAGGAAUCAACUUCCAGAUCCUCUCCAACCCUGAGUUCCUCGCUGAGGGGACUGCGAUUCAGGACCUCUUCAACCCAGACCGUGUUCUCAUUGGUGGGCGGGAGACCCCUGGAGGUCAGAAAGCUGUUCAAGCCCUAAAAGAGGUCUAUGCCAAUUGGGUCCCCGAGGAUCGGAUCAUAACCACUAACCUGUGGUCCGCAGAGCUAUCUAAACUCGCUGCAAAUGCCUUCCUGGCUCAGAGGAUUUCUUCUGUCAAUGCCAUGUCAGCACUCUGCGAGGCCACAGGCGCCAAUGUGGCCGAGGUGUCUUAUGCUGUGGGGAAGGACUCCCGCAUCGGACCCAAGUUCUUGAAUGCUAGCGUCGGAUUCGGUGGCUCCUGCUUCCAGAAGGAUAUCUUGAACCUGGUCUACAUCUGUGAGUGCAACGGCCUGCCGGAGGUCGCCAACUACUGGAAGCAGGUGAUCAAGAUCAACGACUACCAAAAGAGCCGGUUCGUGAAUCGGGUUGUGUCCUCCAUGUUCAACACAGUUGCGGGGAAGAAGAUCGCCGUUCUCGGAUUUGCCUUUAAGAAGGACACUGGGGAUACAAGGGAGACCCCUGCGAUCGAUGUGUGCAAGGGGCUUUUGGGUGAUAAGGCUAAGAUUAGCAUCUUCGAUCCUCAAGUGACCGAGGAUCAAAUCCAACGUGAUCUCGCGAUGAACAAGUUCGACUGGGACCACCCGAUCCACCUCCAGCCGAUGAGCCCAACGGCUGUGAAGCAGGUCACCGUGACGUGGGAUGCAUACGAGGCCACCAAGGGGGCCCACGGGGUCUGCAUUUUGACCGAAUGGGAUGAGUUCAAGAAGCUUGACUAUGCAAAGAUCUACGAGAACAUGCAGAAACCGGCGUUCAUCUUCGACGGGCGCAACGUAAUCGACCCUGAGAAGCUGAGAGAGAUUGGGUUCAUUGUUUACUCGAUCGGGAAGCCGCUUGAUCAGUGGCUCAAGGACAUGCCUGCUGUUGCCUAAAUCAAAGCUGCUCAAGGAGAGUAAUUCUAUUCGGAGGCUCGGUAGAAGGUUUAAAUUCAUGAUUCUUAUAAUUGUUGUUGUUUUUUUUGUUGCUAAAGAUUUAGUACUUUUCCUUGAAUGGUCUAUUUGUUUUCAAAAUUGUAGCUUUUAGAGUCAGCUGAGUCAUCUCCAUGUCUUUGCCACUUAUGAUCUUAUCAUACCUUGUAGGAAGUGUCCUUUGUUAUUUUUAAAAGAGAAAACCUAUAUUUUUGUUGUUGCCGGAGAUAGAAUAAGUAUAAGAAUAACUUUUCUGUUGUUGCUUUCAUAUUUGAUUAUACUAAAUUCAUCUGUGCCGCCUUUAUUUCUAGCUUGUGGAGUCUAAUAAAUUAAUUUGCAUAUAUGUUGGUGGAAGCCCACAACUCUUUGUAUUUUUUUUUUUCCCCUCCUCUCUGUUGAGUAUUUGUGAAGCAUUUUCAGAUAUUUGUCGUGAAUGCACUUGCAUGAAUAUUCUUAUUAAAAAUCUUAGCAAGUUUGCAAAGAUAUAGAGGCGCAUUAAAGUUGGCGGGUAUGUGGAAUAAUGAAGAGGGAAAAGGGUGUAUUCAUCUAAGGGUUUGUUAUCUUUUCUCUAUAGAAUCAGAAGAAUGACCGAGUAACGAGCAGAUUUAUCAGGUCUUUAUUAGAUAUUUUCCAGUGUUAAUUUUUUAGGCAUGUAAUAAUACUGAAAAUGUGGUUAUUGCGGAUAUUCUCACUGCAAAGUAUAAACAACAGAAAAUUUAACGAACAGAUUUGGAAAAUCGCCUCAUUUGAACUUGGAAGAGAAGGAUUUCAGAUUCACAAAUUUCAUGAAAUUUUUUAUGUAAUUCGCCAAUUAGAUUAUACACAUAGUUAAUGCACUUACAUUAUUCGUAGAUUCAUCUUAUUCUUCUUCUUUUUUUACCCUUAAAAGGGCAUUGGUAGUUAAAAGAUACUUCUGAAUCUUACAGCAGAAAGCUUCACAAAAAGGAAAGGAAAAACAGCAUCAUUCCUUGCAGUGUUGAUACCAUUCUUUGCAUCAGAGCUGCAAUCCGCAAAAGUGUUCAUUUUUUGAUUUGAAAUGUUGGAACUCAGAUGCUGCUCUUCUUACUUUGUUUAUACUCAUUCUUGUUAUGUCGAGUACUGGAUCACUACUUCCAUUACCCUGCGCGCCUAUUCGUUGUGCCAAUUUCGGCCGGAAAAGGGAAAAAAAACAGAUCUCUUGAGCUUUGUCCUCCCAAUUUGGCUCAUCUCUAUUUGAUUCAAAUCUUGGUUUUCCAACCAUUAUAAUUGCAACAAAUGUUCAUGUGCUUCUUUUUCUGAAAAAGGGGUAAAUAGGGAUUGGUAACAUGUGCAUCUGAAAAAAAGAAGGAAAAAAACACUUCCAUGAAAAGCUGCAGGGGCUUAAUUGGUAACAUGCUAUUCUUUAAUGUGCACUGCAUGUGUCAUGGAACAUUUUCUUACUUAUGCCCUUGAAAUUUGAGCAGGAAAAUUCUUGAUGAUUGGAAGUCAGCAAACCAGAAUUAGAAUAUUCCUGCAUUGAAGAAGAGAAGAUGGUAUGUCCAGCACCAGGUACUGCAAAUUUUGCAUAUUACUCCCAUGUGAGCAUGAUGUACUCUCUUGGAACAUGUUUUCUGACCAGAUACUUGUUGGAACAUGUUACUUCCAUUAAUAUUAUCAUAUGGAAAGCCUAUUAUUUUCCUUUUGCCUUUUGGCAGAGUUGACUCUAUGAUCCACUAUUCUCUCCCAUAAUUGCUUGCUUUCAUGUUGGGCCAUGUUCUCUCUCUCUCUCUCUCUCUCUUGCAUGUAUUAGUUUCAUGCUGUGAGAUUCCUUGUGCUGUUGUGCAAUAGCUUUGUAUGUGCAGAAUCUGGAUCUGAUGGAUGUAUUAUGUUCAGAAAUGAAGUUUAGAUUCAUGGGUAUGAUUGCUUUUGCAGCUUGAAUUUGGAUAUGGAUUGGUUGAAGCUUGAAGUUUCCAAAUCUGGAAUUCCUGAUUUAUGGGCAUCACUUAUGUUUAGCAGACCCUUCCCUGUUUUAGUAAUUGGUUGGCUUUUAUACCUGCAGAGAAGUUGUGUUUCAAUCUUAAAAAUAAUGCAGAUUAGAGAAAAGCAAGGUUUAAAGUGCCCAUCGGCACAGGACAUAUCCACUGUGCUGUAUCAUGCCAGUAAGAUAUCGGCACAAUAUAGUCUCCGUGCUGAUGGUACAAUUCAAAACUUUUUAUUCUUAAAAUUAGUAAAUAAUUUUUUCAAUAAAAUUCAAAAAAUUUGAUAAAAAAAUAUAUAAUAAAUAAUUGACAUAUUUUAUUGCUCAAGAAAAUAAAUAUUUUAUAUCAUUAUGUAUCAGCAUAUAUAAUUUUUUUGUGACCGACAUUUCUCGACAUGGCCCGGCACGUAAAAUGCUAGCAAAUUUUCGAUAGGAUCUCGUACUACGGCACUGAAUCCUGAAAAAAGGGAAAACUUCAAAAACCCCCCCUGUGGUUUCACGCUUUUUCAUUUUAGUACCCUGUGGUUUGAAGUGUAUCAAGUUAGUACCCUGUGGUUUCUCACUUUAUCACUUUAGUACCCUGUGGUUUAAAAUGUAUCAAGCUAAUACCCUGUGGUUUUGCACUUUAUCACUUUAGUACCCUGUGGUUUCACACUUUAUCACUUUAGUAUCUUGUGAUUUAAAAAACUAUAGGGUACUAACUUGAUACAAAAUUAAAACCACAGGGUACUAAAGUGAUAAAGUGCAAAACCACAGGGUACUAACUUGAUACACUUUAAACCACAGGGUACUUAAGUGAUAAAGUGAGAAACCACGGGGUACUAACUUGAUACAUUUUAAACCACAUGGUACUAAAGUGAAAAAGUGUGAAACCACAAGGGGGUUUUUUGAAGUUUUCCCAAAAAAGAUUAAGUGAAGGGUUACAUAUACAUUGGGUCUUUUUGAUGUGACUUGAGCUUUUUUUCACGAGAAGUACUGUUUGAAAAAGCUAUUCCAAAAGGUUAAGUGUUUAUCAACUUUUUGCUAGUUUUUUUUUUUUUUUUUUGAAGUCCAUUUGAUUGGAUGUAAAUAAAAAUACAGGUAAAAAUAUAUAUAGUUAAAAAUAUAAUAGUUAUAAUUAUAUAUUACUUGGUCGAUUAGAUACAGUAAAAAUAUUGUAAUUAUAAAUAAUUUAUUUGAUUUUAUGCGGUUGAGAAGCAUAUUUUUAAAAUUUUUAUCACUUUAUAUAUAUACGUGGGGAUGAGAUUAUCUCUAAUAUAGAAAAAAAAAUUAUUUUAAAUUAAAAAAUUUAGAGAGGUAACCUUACUUUUUAUUAGAAUUAUUCUUUCCAAUCGCUCCAAUUGGAGCUAUGAUCAAUUUGGAUGUAGUUUCAACGGCUACAAUUGGACCUCUUGUAAUUCUAACUGUAGCACUUGGAUUCAAAAUUGUCUAACCAAAUGCCGAAUUUUGAUCUGCAUAUAGUUACAACUGUAGUAUAAUUACAACUACAUCCAACCAAAUGAUCCCUUAAAAUUAAAAAAAAAACACAAAAAGAGGAAAAUAUAUGAAAUUUAGCUGAACAUGAGCUAUUUUUGACACAUAACCAUUUUAAAUUUGGGUUUUGCAAUCUAGCAUUUUAUUUUAUUUAAUUUAAAUCAUUUAAUGACUCUCCUGUAUUUAUAUUAACGAAAUCGAUAAAAGUAUUCUAUAUGUGAUUCAUUGAUUCUAUAGCUAUUUGAACAAAAGGGUCAUUCUAAAUUCAAACCACUCAAAUCAAACAAUUUAAAAAAAAAUAAAAAUAAAUUAGUAAAAUUAAAAUUUUUCCAUUGAGUGCCAUAAUUUUUAACCAAAAAAGAAGAAAAAUUAAGAACGCACCGCCGUAGAAAGUCGAUCAUACGGUCGUAUACUCUACGAUACCAUACGAAAAAUCACAUUUCCCAUACUAUCCCAAACAAUUUCCAAAGUACCAAACGAGUCCUACUACCAACAAUAGUUAUUUCACUAAUUACAAUUACAACACGUGGUAUAUACAAGGGUAUUUCCGUAAUUAUGAACUCCGAAUAAAAAAAAUUUAUAAAAGAGCGCGUUGAGCCCUAUUUUGGUCAUUACGCACCCUCCUCCCCCAAAUCGCUUCGAUCGCGAUCCCGAUUCCUCUUCGAUCCCUCUUCUUCCUCAUCUCCGAUUCCCCGCCGCGUUCGAUCCCCUCCUCCUCCGCGGCUCCCGCGAUACCCUCCCCUCCCCUCCCCCUCUCUCGUCGCUCCGAUCCUAGGGUUAGGGUUUCGGGGGACUUCUUCUUGCGUCGGCGGCGGCGCCCUCCGUUGGCCCCCCGACCUGUGGAUCUGCCUCGAAGAUCGGGUUUUUCGGUGCGAUCUUUUGGGGGCUUGUUGAUUCUUGAGGCUUGCGAACCCGAAUCGAGGUCGCGGCGAGCCGGUGGAGCUGGUUCUUCAGGGCGUGAUUUGAGGUUAGGGUUUGCUCGGAUUUCGAACUUUUCGAUCUGUUUUAUUUCAUCUGUUUGGGGGGUAUUGCUUUGAUCCGGAUGUGGCUUGUUUGCCCUCUUGUAAUUGCAUGAUGUAUUGGUGGAUUUGGGUAUUUGAAUUGGAUCGCUUUAGGAUUAGGGUUUUGUAUUUGUUGGGGGAAAUCCAUUUCCUUAUUCAAUUAUCAUCUUUCUAUAUCCCAUCAUUGUAGACUUAGGGUUUAAAUUUCAUUUAUCAAGUACUUUAUUGCGAUUUUUAUUUUUCCAGUUAUACGGUAAUUAGCAUGUUGUUUUAUCAAGGUUUUAGAUAUCUUAUUUGAUUUGAUCCUGUACGAAUGCCCUGGGUACACCUAUUCUAAAGCAGCAGCUGUUUUUUUCAGAAUUUAUCUUUUCCAUUUAUUGCUGCUUAACAUAGUAAUUAGCAACUUUAGUAGAUUCCCUUUGUGUAAUGCUUGUUCAAUUGAUUUAGAUGGCUCUGUGUUUGUUUUUAACUAGAAAUUCUAUCUUGGCAUUCCUUUUUUUAUUGCUAGGACUUUGUAUUAUCUUCAGUAGAUAAGUAGAGAGGCUCACUCAAGGAAUGCGUAUAUAUUUUAACACGGUACCGUUCCUAAGACUUAUGGUGAUGCGUAUGGAACUGGAAUGACUUCAUCCCUGUGCGCAUUUCCCUUCACAAGUGGAAUUGCAAAUGACGUUGAAACUUGAACUCUGAUUUUCUGGAAGGAUUGAUAAGCUCGUUAAUUGAUUGGCUACAAUCUGUGAUUUUAUUUUUGUCAUUGGGGUCGUUGUGAUCUAAUGGUGUAUUUUAGCCUCUUCUUUUUUGCAACUAGUUGCUUUCCUUUGUUUAAAUGUGUUUUUAUUUGAAGGUUAUUUCAUAGAAUCUGCAGCCUUCUGACAACUUGAUUUGGUGCACCUGAAAUAUUUGCUGCUCCUUUUGGCUUUAAUUGGUUUAUGACCUAGCAUUCUUUCGCUUGUUGUAUAUUAUACACUAUAAAGGUAAUUCUUGCAAGUGUUAUAAAUUUUUCAUUGGCGAAAGUUAUUCCACAUAUUGUGUUGUGCUAUUUGAAGCUAGACAGGUCUCUUUUAGGAGCUUCAAUUGCUGCUUUUACGCUUCCCUAAGUGGCUGAGUGAUACAUAUCAUUAUUGGUGUCUCUAGUGUGCUAGUCUUUUGCUCCAUGAUAUAUUUUCUAAUUGAUUGUUUGUCCUGCAGGUCAAGUAUGGUGUUUGUGCACGGCAAACAACCUCUAACGGAUGAUCAGUUUGACCAUCUUGCUGAUCAGAACCUGAGUGGGUUGGAGGAGCACUAUCAAAUUGCACCAUUCUCUGACAUUUCUUCAUCUAAAGGUAAACAGUGCCAAAUUUUUCUUUGAAGACAAAUAGAGUGAUAAUUAGUUUCCUAUUCACUCUAUUCUGUAAAGAUUGCGAAAAUUUUAGUAAAAGUAGAGGAGCUGGUGACCUGAAAUGUUCUCGUGGUGAGAAAUUGUUUGUCUUUGGUGACAGGUGGCGCUGGUGAGCAUUUCAAGUUGGAGCAUAGCAAGCGGCCUCUUUGCGAUGGCAAGCCUUCCCAAGUUGCUCUUAAACGCCCAAAGCAACUGGACCAGAAUAGAAUGUUAUAUUCAUUUGAAGAAUUUACAUUUACUUCAGGCGCCUUUGAGGGGCUACCUGCCUCAGGUUUCUUAAACUAGUUCUCUUUACUUGUGUAUAAUAUUUUUUGAUAGUUCAGAAUGUGCUGAACCUAGAGAAGCUUACACUAACAUUUCUUUCUCUUGCCAGUUCUAGUGGACAAAUAUUUUGGCAGCAGAGACAAUAAUUAUUUUCCUAGCUUUGAUCCACCUGUUCGGGCACCUCUCUUUCCUUACUAUUUCGAGGAUUGCCAACGAGCAGUUGGAUUUAAUCAAGUAGAUGAGAUUCAUUCACCUGUUCUCGAAAUUCAUCCUCGAAAACCUGUUGCCAUUGGGCCCAAUCAUCAGGCCGAUCUUCCAGAUUGGAAGCCAAGAGGUUUUAGGAAUGGCUCUGGGGAUUCUUUUCAUUGUGAUGCGUCUUCACUUAAUUCGGAGACAUGUUUAGCUUCUGUUUGUCAUCCUGCGGAUGAUGAAAAUGAGGAUAGUGAGAAGUGGAUUAGAACUUGUGUCAUUCCAAUGCCUUGUGCAGAUGGCUUAGCUUCAGAAAUCAGAACUACAAAUAGUAAUAUACGUUGUAGCUGCACUGAACCUGGGUCCAUCCAAUGCGCAAAACAGCAUGUGAUGGAGGUCAGAGAGAAUCUCAAGGCAGCCUUGGGGCCAGACAGAUUCGAAGCAUUAGGGUUUUGUGAGAUGGGAGAGGAUGUAGCUUUGAAAUGGACGGAAGAGGAGGAGAGACUUUUCCAGGAAGUCGUCCUAUCCAACCCUGCUUCCUUGGGCAAGAACUUUUGGGAUGAGCUCCCGCAUGUAUUCUCCUCGAAAAGCAGCAAAGAGUUGGUCAGUUACUAUUUUAACGUCUUCAUGCUACGAAAGAGGGCUGAGCAAAACAGGUCGGAUCCCAUGAAUGUGGACAGCGACAAUGAUGAAUGGCAAGAGAGCGAUGAUGGUGAGUUUGAAGAGGACGAAACAGAAGAAGAUUCUGCUGUGGACUCUUUGACUGACAGGGAGGACUUAGGUUAUAAUCAUAAAGCUUGUGUGGGGGGAGAUAUUCAUGAAGAAUCUGAUGAGGGAGAUGACUGUGAUGGUGAAGAAAAUGAAGGGGUCACCGGAAAAAAUCUGCGAGGCCGUUCAGAUGAUCUGGGUGUCCAGGAUGAAUCGUGCACAUCAUUUGAGGGCCAGAAUAACGGGGCUGACUCUGCUAGUCAGGCUGACGAGAUGCAACAUUUUAGCAUCGAAGAAAACGGGAACCACCAGAGGGAACAUAGAAAUGAUUGGUUGAGUGGUAUUGCAGAUAAUGUGUUCUUCGAUGGCCAUUGUGACCCAAAAAUGUGGGAAAUGAACUUUAGUCAUGAAAGAAGAGAAGAUUUUUUGUCGACCUGUAACGUGGUUGAAGAAGUGAUUGGUAUAGAUGCUUACGAGAAUAAUGCUAUCAGUCGUCAUAGCAUCAGCUAGUUUUCUGCUGGGCCUCUGAUUCGGCUUUUCUCAUUGCAUCAAAUCCUUUCAAGAUUCUAUAGUUUGUCGCGGUUGUGAAUCAAUGUUCUUGAUUCUCAAUGUACAUUCAUGAAGGAAAUCAGCGGGUCUGGGUCUCUUGUAGAGUAGUUUAAAUACAAUAUUUAGUCCUGAAGAUUUGCUCUUUAGGACUGCAUGAAGGUGUCCUUAAAUUAUUUUAUAGAGCAAUCCCUUCUUUCCCAACGAGAGAAUCUUUGUACAAGGGGGUUUACGUUGUUCAGAACCUUCAAUUUAUUAAUUUACAUUUAUAUAUCUUUGUUUACCAUGAUUUAUUAUAGGAAAUUGCUCUUCCAUGUUGUCACUUUUUUGUCAUUUGUGUCGGCAGUCAAAUAAAAUUUCCUAUUUAUGAGAUGAGCUUAUGAGCUGUUGUUGGGAGGAUCAUUUACUGGAGAUAAUAUAAAGAUGGAAUGAGGCUUGAAGGUUUUCUCUCUCUCUCUCUCUCUCUCUCUCUCUCUCUCUCUCUCUCUCUCUCUUGAUUGAGCACGAUUUUGUUGUCGAAAUUCUGAUUUGGAGGUCAUGUUACUGCCCAAUGCAUAGCUGAGUGUAUCUUAAACUUGCACCUGAUUUCUCUGCAGUGAAACAUCUGAACUAAAGGAAAGCAGGUUAGUCUUAAGAUUUAGAGCAAGAUCUUCAGUAGCAGAUGAAUUGGGUGAUAAAUUCUAGGUAGGGUCUGUCUAAUCUGACUAAAGCUUCUCGUGAAGUGCUAUUUGCGGAAGCCCAAUAGCUUGUCGUUCCAAAUCCCCGACUUACCUAUUCAAUCUA
rnacentral:lncRNA from 1 species